UCCAGCAUGUUGAAACGUAACCAAGUCAUACCAAUAGGAGUUAAUCCAAAUCCACGCCGAGAAAUUAUCCCUGAUUUCUGUGGAAAGUCUCUGCUACUACUGACUUUAUGUCAUGACCGAACAGUGAUACUGAUGAUUUUAUCCCAUCAUCAUUCUCACUGGUGUUUUUUGUCAAGAAUGACAAAUUAUUAUGGACUGGUUUAACUUCUGAACAAUUUGUUUUUGCAAAGAAGAAAAUAUUCUGUACUUUAUAACCUUCAGACAUUGUAUGUUUAGGUUCACUGAGAUUUCUUCCAGAGAUCUGAUUACUUCCAUUGGACCUCAUUCAUCAAUUUUUCUUCUUUGAACCUAAGUUAUUAUUUCUACUUGCUCUUCAUUAUUUAAAGAGGCAAGGAAUAAUAGCAUAAGCUGUGUGGUGAGAUUAUUGGAAUUUGGCAGACUGAUUAAGAUGAGCCACACCUGUCCUGUCCUGAGUGAUGUGUGCUGCUGAUGUCAGCAGGAGAAACCACUCUCCACAGGCAGUUUUGAAGGACCUCUCCUUUUGGGGGAGGAAGAGUAAAUGUUCCUGAGGGGAGCUCAGUCUCUUCAGGAGUGGUUUUCCCUUGUGGUGGUCUGAGCAGCAGGAGCAGACGAGUCCUGAGGGCCCUGGCUGCAAAGCUGUUUUUCCAUGAAGCUAUGGACCCCAGGUGAUCUAAAUAAGAGAAUAUGGAUAACCUCUCGCUUCGGCAGUGUUAAUCAGAUACCACUGGCCUGUGAGAAUGAAGAUCCACACCAAGCCAUUAUCCGUUAUUUAUACGGAAGACCUAUCGAUGAUCGGGAAGAAUUUGUGGCAUAAUUAAUUCUGGCUCGGUGAUUCAUUACUGACUAAUUUAGCUUAAGGACA